rnacentral:rRNA from 1 species
UACGGGGGGGGGCAAGCGUUGUUCGGAAUUACUGGGCGUAAAGGGCUCGUAGGUGGCCGAUCAAGUCGGGGGUGAAAGCCCGUGGCUCAACCACAGAAUUGCCUUCGAUACUGUUUGGCUUGAGACCGGAAGAGGUUAGUGGAACUGCGAGUGUAGAGGUGAAAUUCGUAGAUAUUCGCAAGAACACCAGUGGCGAAGGCGGCUGACUGGUCCGGUUCUGACGCUGAGGCGCGAAAGCGUGGGGGAGCAAACAGG